rnacentral:lncRNA from 1 species
UAAAACUAUAUUUCAUGCAUGCUCAUGUUUUGUAGAAUUUCUGUGCAAGUCUGUAAAAUUUCAGGACAAAAACUUAAAAAUCUGUUAGUUCACAGUUCUCACUUUUCAGGUGAAUGAGAUAAAACCCAGGAAAGGAAAUGACUCACCCAAGAUGAGAGGAUUUCUGACAGCUAUUCUCAGCACUAAUGGCAAUGUUGAACACAUAGACAUGAGUUUGCUCUGCUCCUAUCCAUUGAGAUGCUCAUCAAGAGAGGAGAGACUCUAGCAUUGGGGGAAAUUGGACAUCAAGCUCAGUAGAAGGGGAAGAGCUUGGGCCAGGACAGAAAAGCCAACAAACCAUGGACUGAAUCCUCAGGGAACUGUAGACCUACAUAAACUUCUCCUUUAGAGAAAAAAAGAAGAAGAAAGAAAGAUGAUUCCUUGUGGGAGGAAGGACACAAAGUAAAAGAUAUCCCAGCACAGAUCAACAACCUCAUAUAGAGAAGGAGCAUCGCAGAACCCACAGAUCAGCAAAGAGACCAUGGCUCUAGCCUCACUGCAAAUGCUGGUUACCUGCUCCUCAGUGUACAGGAAUAGUAAGCUCUGGAAAACAUGGAUUUUUAGUGUGUGUGUGUGUGUGUGUGUGUGUGUGUAUAGCUCAUUGAAUAUACAUCUUAUGUAAGUAUUGGUUCAGUUUUUCUCAACAACCUUUUGUGUACUCUCAGUAAACCUUGAAUUAAUGAGGAAUUAAUGGUAUUACAUGUAGAUUUCUGUGCUGACUUGUCUACCUAGUAAUGCCGGUUUUCGCUGCCCUUUACAGAUCAGCAGCCCAGAGAGAGUACGAAUGCGAUCCAGAUGGUGCAGCUCACAUCCACCAUGGGGACUCAAACCCAGAGAGAAGACAAUGGACCUGAGUAUGGAUUGUUCGCCUUUAGAACGGGUCAUCAUGAAGUCCACUGCCCACUGUUUCUUGUCGGUGGCUCGGUUUCUUUCUGCUUCUCUGUUACUUCAUUCCCUGUGGCAGAGAACCAAGUGCAUGCUUUCAACAUCCAACUAUUUUCUGGACACCCCAGGAGAUGUGAAAUGUGUGUCACAGCCACCAAAACAUUAUGUAUCCACCAUGGAAUCUGCUUUAUUUGAACAUCUGAUUUUUGUUUUUCAGAGUGUUAAAAUUAUGCCUACUUUCUCCUCAGACUAAGACAGAAUGAGUGGUUCUUCUGAAUCUCUUAUUCUAACAUGGAAUCUCCCCAACUUCACUUCCCUGGACAAAGUGCACUUCUAGAUUUAAACAUGAUGCUGCCCCUUUGCCUAAGUGACCUGAGUGGAGCCUACAUAUCAUUAGGCAGCCCUGGAUGCAUCCUCGGAAAGUUUUUCCCUGAUAGAAAGAGCCCAUGCUGACUGUUUACUCUGCACCAUACCUCUCUCAGGAACGAUGCCUUACUCAGAAUUUUCUGAUAAGCUAAUGUGGGUAGCAACAAUAAUAAGCCCUUGGGGGAUUUAUAUCACCUGAUUUAUAUCUUGAAAUUCUCUGACACCAUCCACUCAUAAGAAUAACAAGUCAAUUCUGGCUCCAUGUUCUUCCAUCCCCAUUGGAAUAGUCUAAUUUCCAGGUGCGUUUGUCAAACAUUAGUUUUGCUGAAAGGCACAUACCAUACUGAUUCAAGACUUGGCUGUUGGUUUAAGUGCUCACUGGAUGAUUAGAGUCAAUAUGACAUAAUGGUAAAUGUUAAGAUUUAUGGAAGGUGUGUAAAAGUCCAGUGCAUGGCCUUCUACAGGAUCUUCAUGAUUUUUCUCCUCCAGCCUAUCCUUUACAUGAUGCCUUCCCACCUCGGCUUCCCCUAUUAACUUUCUAUUUCAAUUUUUAUUCUAAAAUUGCCACAUAUUAACUGGACAUGAAAUGCAUUUGUGACUCUCAUGGCUGUCUGUCAGUGAACCCUGGAUGUGGGUCUGCUCUGAUCGGUCUCUGUAGAGUUGGGGUCUGACCCGAUCACAGCAAAUGUGCUUUCCAGGAGUGAAAGAUGGUUGCUUGGUGACUGACGAUCAGUUUGCACCAUGAAGCUUUUCCUAAGGAUUCCAAGAACGUCUGCCAGGCAAAAAAUGUCUGCCUUAUUCUCCACAAACCACGAAUAAUGACCAGUUCAUUUGUCUUCAGAGGUCUAGCAGGUGUUUUUCAUUGUAAACCCUUGUAGUUCCCAAGAAGACAUUAAAUAUUUCCCG